rnacentral:rRNA from 1 species
AAAUUAGGCUUGGUUUUCCAAAAAAUAACUAUAAUUUUUUUAUGGCUUUUUUAAAAAAAAAAGAAACAGAAAAUAAAAUUUCCUUAAUAAUAAAAAAUUAUUGAGAUUUAUAGUUAAAUUUAGCUAAUU